CAAUGUCUAACACGCACUAGGACACAUAUCUAUACAGUUAUCUCUCAACCUUUUAAAAUAUAUAAAAAAAUAUAUAUCUUUGGUGUUAUUCCACAAAUAAAAAAAAAUAUGUUAUUUAUUUAUUCAUACAUAUAUUGUACACAAAAAUUACAUUGUUUUAAACUAUAUUAAAUAAAGAUGUACAAUAGGCAAGCUUAACUCUGAUGUCCAGAAAAAAACCGAAAUGACCUGCAUAGACCGAAGGAUAAGCACGCUAAAAUGGCAAUGGGCUGGUCACAUAGUUCGAAGAAGCGACAACCGAUGAGGAAGAAAGGUUCUUGAGUGACGACCCUGUAUAGACAAACGCAGUAUAGGACAACUCCUUACUAGAUGGAGUGACGACCUCAAAUGCAUUGCAGAACAGCAGUGGAUACAGAUGGCUCAGGAGCGUUCCUUAUCGCAGUCUAUGGGGAAGGCCUAUGUUAAGCAAUGGAUAGGUGACGUGAAAUGACAGUCAGUGAAAACAAUUGAAAAUAUUUUUGUGCCAAUAAACUGUUCAAUAUAUUUAUUUUA